rnacentral:lncRNA from 1 species
GCGCUCUCAGAAAUCCUCCGCGCUGCCACAGCAGGACACUCUAGUGCUGCAAGUAGGUGAGGAAAAUCUGCCAGUCUCGCAAGUUCGCUGUAGGGAAAGCUGCAUUUUCUGAUCCUAGAGAAAAGCUUAACAGAGUAAGUGGGAAAAGUCUAAUCUUAAUGGAAAAUAACAUGUCAGAAUUCAGCUUUUCUUCUCUUUAAGCUUAUAAUAGUCUCACUUCUUUCUGACUUGUGUCAGAUAGAGUAAAACAAGGUAAAUUCCCUCAAGGAAGAAAGCCAUCAAAGUGCGUCUAUUUUAAUGACUUAGUCUCCCACGUUCAAAAAAUUUUCUUUGUUAUCCUCUGUUUAAAAACAGGAAAUGAAAAUCAGAAAGAGUAAAACCCUGUGUUAUCUGAUGCUCAGUCCAGAUAUCCAGCCUUAGCUCUGUCUUUUUGCUUACUUGCCCUUGUAACCUAGUGUUUAGAUGAAAGUCAUGGUGCAGUUAUCUCGCCUUUGAAGUUGUGUUAUCUCUUCAUCUGCUUUUAGCGUUGAUGAUUAUUUGGUGGUUCGGUAGCAUUUAUGAUUCAGCCUCCGAACGUGCGGAGAGGACGCUGCCGGGCUGUUACGGGCGUUCCUGCAAGCUCCGGGCCCGCCGAGGCGGGUUGGCGCCGGGGUCGAACGACCCCUCAGCUCUGCGCGCGGGGCUUGGCAGGGGCAGGGCGCGGCGGCCGUGGGGCGCAGACGUGGUGGACGCACGCGUGCGCGUGCCCAAAGCACCGCGCGGGCGCCACGAAGGGCUGCGGCGCGGGGCUGAGCCCGGGCUGCGGCCGCGUGCGAGGACGGAGCCUCGCCAGCCUCCCCGCGGCCCCGACGCCGACUCCUCGUGUUGCAAGUUUUCCUUGAGUUCUUUACGGGUAAAACAUUAGCAGUGUGCACACUGGAAGUAACUGCACCUUUCAGACGAGUGAAAACUACAGUUAGGUGAAUUACCUUCAUUUUGGUUCGAUACAAGGAUAUUCCUGUUGCUUGCAAUCUUGACAGAUACCGUAACAGUUGUUUCCCAAGAAAGUACUUGGUAUUAAAAGCUAUUUUAUAUAUAUAUACAUAUAUAUAUAUAUAAAAUUCAGAGAGAAUUAACUUUUUUUGUACUGUGAAAAAUGAAUUGCUGUAUUAACAAGAUGUUGCAAUAUACUACAGACUAAAUCUACCCCUUUGUUAUAUUUUCUUCUCCAAAUGUGGAAAAAGUCAUCCAAAACCAGUCAAGCUGAGCUCUUGUGUAACGCAGCAGCUAGUGACCGGAGCCCGGAUGAAAUCCUACAUGUGCAGUCCUAUUCACUUCUCAUGUUUUUAAGAAAUGUGUUUGAAAAUAUUGUGUGCUAAAUAGAGUAUGAAGGCAUGCUUUGAAUUAUAAACUUAGUGUACAAAAUUAAGUUCUGUGUAAUCCUACGGAUGGUUUUAACAGAUCCUCACUCUUCCAGUCUUCACAGUAAGAAUAAAAUAUUUAUAUUUUACUUAAUUUCCGGUGAU